rnacentral:rRNA from 1 species
UACGUAGGGUGCGAGCGUUAAUCGGAAUUACUGGGCGUAAAGCGUGCGCAGGCGGUUUUGUAAGACAGGCGUGAAAUCCCCGGGCUCAACCUGGGAAUGGCGCUUGUGACUGCAAAGCUGGAGUGCGGCAGAGGGGGAUGGAAUUCCGCGGUGUAGCAGUGAAAUGCGUAGAUAUGCGGAGGAACACCGAUGGCGAAGGCAAUCCCCUGGGCCUGCACUGACGCUCAUGCACGAAAGCGUGGGGAGCAAACAGGA